CAACGUGGUAGAGAUUGUGAUUGGUGGAUAUGUGAAUAGUAAAUCUGUCAUCAGAAACCAAAUGCAAGGGAACAAUUUGGCCGAAUACUUGGGCUAUAUACUCACCGCCUACUCCUUCCAAUGGUUUUGGAUCUCUUGGAACGGCGGUUGUGUAAGGGUCGGCAAGGGCUCCAUUGUAGGCAACUCUCAGAUAAUGCAGUGGUGCGGCCCAUACUACAGCAUUAACGGCAUCCGAUUCAGCUAUGGCUUUGAC